rnacentral:rRNA from 1 species
UACGAGGGGGGCAGGCGUUGUUCGGAAUUAUUGGGCGUAAAGAGCGUGUAGGCGGUUAGGUAGGUCCGCUGUGAAAACUCGAGGCUCAACCUCGAGACGUCGGUGGAAACCAUCUAACUAGAGUCCGGAAGAGGAGAGUGGAAUUCCUGGUGUAGCGGUGAAAUGCGCAGAUAUCAGGAAGAACACCCGUGGCGAAGGCGGCUCCCUGGGACGGUACUGACGCUGAGACGCGAAAGCGUGGGGAGCGAACAGG